GAGAGUGGUCCAUGUCUAUAACAGUCUGUCCCUCUGGUGCCGCAACUUUACAGCACACACUGAUCACGUCAACAAACUGCUGGGAGAUUUAAUAACAGGUCUGCGGGAAAUGAGAAAGAAAGGAAGAAAGCCCGAGAGAGAGAGGGGAGGACUGAAGCGGAGAAAAAUUGAGAAUGUGCCACACCCGCACAUGGGCACCCAGGCACACACGCACAGAAAGAGAGAAAGAGAUGGAGAGAAUAUGGCUGGAAUGUGGAGAGUGAUGGAGUUGCUCGAAGAGAAGAAGAAGAAGAAAAAAGAUGUUCCUGGUUGCCUGACCAAAAGCGUGGACCAUCCAUCCAUAUAGAACUCUGACCCAAAACAGCGAAGACAAAUGCAGUAAAGAAGAAAAACCUGUCUAGACUUUUUUAACCUUUCCUUAACGCUUCCUUUCUGCUUGACAUUAUUCACCUAAACAGCUGUCUCCAGUCUAUGUGAAAAACAAUGUUGUGACACUGCAAUGUGUGGUGGAUUUGUUCUGGAUUGUUCACACCCUGAUGGUGAAUGAAUGGAUGAAGCCUAGGCUUGGUGAUGCUGUGUCCAAUCUAUUAUGACACUGUAGCAGAACAGAACAACUCACCAGUAAACAAAGAGAGGAUUCUUCCAUCUUGGAAGCCAUUUUAAAAUGCAGGGGUGCUUGGCAUGGUGAACAGCGCUAUAGUUCAGUUUGGACAGGCAGGGUAUUCCAUAUGACAGCUACAUGGUAGAUAGUGGACGGAAUCCGUUUUUUUCCUUAUCAACUACUGUAUGACCUACGACAAUGCGGAUUACAACGAAGGUCUGCACGCAGAUGCAAUUCUAACAUGAAUAUAAGAAGGGUAGCACUCACUUUUCUCAUGUCGUAGAUACAAUACCAGCAUAGAAGCAGGUGAAUAUUGACCAACUAUUUGAAGUGAAAUGGUGAUCAUGUCUUCAGAUAAGGCUCUCUAAAAAUACAUAAAUG